rnacentral:misc_RNA from 1 species
CCAGUCUGCAGGCAAGCUA